UAUGUGUUUCUUCCCGAUGGGGAGAGAUUUUACACUUUUGGUUUAGCAGCGAUAUCCUGGGCUAUGUGGAAUUGCCAUAACCGGGUAACCUUUUAGUUCAAAAAAAUGAGAUCCCCUUUUGACGUGGUUUACUCUGCAUGUGGAUAUAUAAAUUACUGGGCAGGUCGAAUGGUGGGAGCUGAUCGUGAGGCGAUGGAGCGUGGAGCCAAGAUGCUGAGGACUAACGCCUCGAACAUGAUGCGGAUCUGCGUGGCGCCAGGGAACGCGAUGAAGAGUUCAAAAUAG
rnacentral:rRNA from 1 species